rnacentral:rRNA from 1 species
GAUGAACGCUGGCGGCGUGCCUAAUACAUGCAAGUCGAGCGAAUGGAUUAAGAGCUUGCUCUUAUGAAGUUAGCGGCGGACGGAUGAGUAACACGUGGGUAACCUGCCCAUAAGACUGGGAUAACUCCGGGAAACCGGGGCUAAUACCGGAUAAUAUUUUGAACUGCAUGGUUCAAAAUUGAAAGGCGGCUUCGGCUGUCACUUAUGGAUGGACCCGCGUCGCAUUAGCUAGUUGGUGAGGUAACGGCUCACCAAGGCAACGAUGCGUAGCCGACCUGAGAGGGUGAUCGGCCAAACUGGGACUGAGACACGGCCCAGACUCCUACGGGAGGCAGCAGUAGGGAAUCUUCCGCAAUGGACGAAAGUCUGACGGAGCAACGCCGCGUGAGUGAUGAAGGCUUUCGGGUCGUAAAACUCUGUUGUUAGGGAAGAACAAGUGCUAGUUGAAUAAGCUGGCACCUUGACGGUACCUAACCAGAAAGCCACGGCUAACUACGUGCCAGCCGCCGCGGUAA